rnacentral:rRNA from 1 species
CGAUGAUGCCCAGCUUGCUGGGCGGAUUAGUGGCGAACGGGUGAGUAAUACGUGAGUAACCUGCCCUUGACUCUGGGAUAAGCCUGGGAAACUGGGUCUAAUACUGGAUACUACCUCUUACCGCAUGGUGGGUGGUGGAAAGGGUUUUACUGGUUUUGGAUGGGCUCACGGCCUAUCAGCUUGUUGGUGGGGUAAUGGCUCACCAAGGCGACGACGGGUAGCCGGCCUGAGAGGGUGACCGGCCACACUGGGACUGAGACACGGCCCAAACUCCUACGGGAGGCAGCAGUGGGGAAUAUUGCACAAUGGGCGGAAGCCUGAUGCAGCGACGCCGCGUGAGGGAUGACGGCCUUCGGGUUGUAAACCUCUUUCAGUAGGGAAGAAGCGAGAGUGACGGUACCUGCAGAAGAAGCGCCGGCUAACUACGUGCCAGCAGCCGCGGUAAUACGUAGGGCGCAAGCGUUGUCCGGAAUUAUUGGGCGUAAAGAGCUCGUAGGCGGUUUGUCGCGUCUGCUGUGAAAGCCCGGGGCUCAACCCCGGGUCUGCAGUGGGUACGGGCAGACUAGAGUGCAGUAGGGGAGACUGGAAUUCCUGGUGUAGCGGUGAAAUGCGCAGAUAUCAGGAGGAACACCGAUGGCGAAGGCAGGUCUCUGGGCUGUUACUGACGCUGAGGAGCGAAAGCAUGGGGAGCGAACAGGAUUAGAUACCCUGGUAGUCCAUGCCGUAAACGUUGGGCACUAGGUGUGGGGGACAUUCCACGUUUUCCGCGCCGUAGCUAACGCAUUAAGUGCCCCGCCUGGGGAGUACGGCCGCAAGGCUAAAACUCAAAGGAAUUGACGGGGGCCCGCACAAGCGGCGGAGCAUGCGGAUUAAUUCGAUGCAACGCGAAGAACCUUACCAAGGCUUGACAUUCACCGGACCGCCCCAGAGAUGGGGUUUCCCUUCGGGGCUGGUGGACAGGUGGUGCAUGGUUGUCGUCAGCUCGUGUCGUGAGAUGUUGGGUUAAGUCCCGCAACGAGCGCAACCCUCGUUCUAUGUUGCCAGCACGUGAUGGUGGGGACUCAUAGGAGACUGCCGGGGUCAACUCGGAGGAAGGUGGGGAUGACGUCAAAUCAUCAUGCCCCUUAUCUCUUGGGCUUCACGCAUGCUACAAUGGCCGGUACAAAGGGUUGCGAUACCGUGAGGUGGAGCUAAUCCCAAAAAGCCGGUCUCAGUUCGGAUUGAGGUCUGCAACUCGACCUCAUGAAGUCGGAGUCGCUAGUAAUCGCAGAUCAGCAACGCUGCGGUGAAUACGUUCCCGGGCCUUGUACACACCGCCCGUCAAGUCACGAAAGUUGGUAACACCCGAAGCCGGUGGCCUAACCCCUUGU